rnacentral:lncRNA from 1 species
AGAAAAGCAGCUCUGGAAGUUCUUAUUUGUAGCCUGGAAAAAGAGGAAAUAGAGAAGGCUGGUAAGGAUUUAGAUGCAAAAGCACAAUCCAGUGACAACUCUGACAGCUCUGAAGGCUCUGAAGGUGAAGGUGAAGGUGAAGGUGAUACUUCUUCCUCUGAUUGAUGGUUCCCCCUCCUGUGUGCUAUGAAGACUGUGAAGCUGUUGUGUCUGAUGUUUUGGGUGAUAUUCUGUUGUUGCUAUAUGGAGUUUUUUUUUUGUUUUUU